UUAGCUGUAAUUGGUACACAAAAUGGAAAGAAGACACAGGAAGUGAUGAAAAUGAAAGGUCUUUAAAAAUGCCAAGAACUUCCUGUGAAGGGGCUUUGAGGUCUUUUGUCUUCAAUUUUACUUUGGAGGAGCUCUGACUAAGAACCUUGGACUGCUUCUACUUUCCUUAAAACUACCAUGUGAGCUUCCCCCUAACUCUCUUCUCACCAAGACUGACACAAAAUCAAUUUAUGCAACCAGCUCAAGUAACCCAGAGAAGACUUUGGCCUGGCCUUCAGAUGUCCUCUUCUCUUCUGACUAAUCUUCCAAUGGCAAUGGUUUGUUUUGGUGAGCACCUGACAUACCAAGGCCAAAGAAUGAACAAGUUUAUUCACAGGUCAGUGAGGACAAAUGGAAACUGUAUUAGACUCUAAAAAUACAGCAGCACACUCUGGUGAACAAGACCUUCCCCAGAGGCCAGCAUAACCUCAGCUACUUGAAACACAAAUGGACAGAAUGCCCACUACAGUUCUCCCAUGUAGGACCUGCUUCUUUUCAAGACACCUGUAGAGGGACAGGUAAGUGGAUCAGUGGUAUUCCAAAGAUAAUACCUGUGGUGCUGGGAAAGUAACCUAACCUUUAUAUGCCUCAGUUUUCUCAUCUAUAAAAUGGUGUAGGAUUUUUAAUAAUAAUUAAAAGAGAGGGGAAAGGAAAAAAAUGUUCUUUCAGUCAAAUGAACAGAGCAAAGAGAGCCAGAGAUUCAUACCUGCAGCACUUCACCAAAGGCACAAGCUCCAAAAAAAAAGCCCUAUGGCGUGGGUCUCAGCCAAAUUUAUCUCCCAAGCCCCCUUCCAUAAAAUGAGGCUAUAACUUGAAAGGAUGCUGGGAAUGUAGCUCAGGUGUAAUUUUCCAUCUGCACAAUG
rnacentral:lncRNA from 1 species